rnacentral:rRNA from 1 species
CUGAUCUAGCCAUGCCGCGUGUGUGAUGAAGGCCCUAGGGUCGUAAAGCACUUUCGCCAGAGAUGAUAAUGACAGUAUCUGGUAAAGAAACCCCGGCUAACUCCGUGCCAGCAGCCGCGGUAAUACGGAGGGGGUUAGCGUUGUUCGGAAUUACUGGGCGUAAAGCGCACGUAGGCGGAUUAGUAAGUUAGAGGUGAAAUCCCAGGGCUCAACCCUGGAACUGCCUUUAAUACUGCUAGUCUUGAGUUCGAGAGAGGUAAGUGGAAUUCCGAGUGUAGAGGUGAAAUUCGUAGAUAUUCGGAGGAACACCAGUGGCGAAGGCGGCUUACUGGCUCGAUACUGACGCUGAGGUGCGAAAGCGUGGGGAGCAAACGGGAUUAGAUACCCCGGUAGUCCACGCCGUAAACGAUGUCUACUAGCUGUAGGGGUACUUGAGACCUUUGUAGCGCAGCUAACGCACUAAGUAGACCGCCUGGGGAGUACGGCCGCAAGGUUAAAACUCAAAUGAAUUGACGGGGGCCCGCACAAGCAGUGGAGCAUGUGGUUUAAUUCGAUGCAACGCGAAGAACCUUACCAGGCCUUGACAUCCUCGGAACUUUCUAGAAAUAGAUUGGUGCCUUCGGGAACCGAGUGACAGGUGCUGCAUGGCUGUCGUCAGCUCGUGUCGUGAGAUGUUGGGUUAAGUCCCGUAACGAGCGCAACCCUUGUCCUUAGUUGCCAGCACAUAAUGGUGGGAACUCUAAGGAGACUGCCGGUGACAAACCGGAGGAAGGUGUGGAUGAUGUCAAGUCAGCAUGCCCCUUAUAUCCUGGGCUACACACGUACUACA